CAGCCGCCGCGGUAAUACAGAGGGUGCGAGCGUUAAUCGGAUUUACUGGGCGUAAAGCGUGCGUAGGCGGCUAAUUGAGUCGGAUGUGAAAUCCCCGAGCUUAACUUGGGAAUUGCAUUCGAUACUGGUUAGCUAGAGUGUGGGAGAGGAUGGUAGAAUUCCAGGUGUAGCGGUGAAAUGCGUAGAGAUCUGGAGGAAUACCGAUGGCGAAGGCAGCCAUCUGGCCUAACACUGACGCUGAGGUACGAAAGCAUGGGGAGCAAACAGGAUUAGAUACCCCGGUAGUCCUGUCUCUUAUACA
rnacentral:rRNA from 1 species